GUCAGGAUGGCCAAGCGGUCUAAGGCGCUGCAUUCAGGUUCCUGUCCACUCUUGUGGGCGUGGGUUCAAAUCCCACUUCUGAUA